rnacentral:sRNA from 1 species
ACCGUAAAUAGACAUUCACUUAUUAUAAAGUGUUCUCUUUUUUACAGAGCGGUACUUUUUAUAAUAGGUGAAUCUUUAUUUAUCACACAUUUUUGGAGGUAACAAAAUGAAAAACGGUAAAGUAAAAUGGUUUAAUGCAGAAAAAGGUUUCGGAUUCAUUGAAGUUGAAGGCGAAAAUGAUGUAUUCGUACAUUUCUCCGCUAUUCAAGGCGAAGGUUUCAAAUCUCUAGAAGAAGGCCAAAGCGUACAGUUCGACGUAACAGAAGGCGCUCGCGGACCUCAAGCUGAAAACGUAAUUAAGCUUUAAGAAGUAUGCGAAUAAAGGCUAUCCCAGGUAUGGAUAGUCUUUUAC